GACGAACGCUGGCGGCGUGCCUAAUACAUGCAAGUUGAGCGCUGAAGGUUGGUACUUGUCCCAACUGGCUGAGCAGCGAACGGGUGAGUAACGCGUGGGGAAUCUGCCUUUGAGCGGGGGACAACAUUUGGAAACGAAUGCUAAUACCGCAUAAAAACUUUAAACACAAGUUUUAAGUUUGAAAUAUGCAAUUGCAUCACUCAAAGAUGAUCCCGCGUUGUAUUAGCUAGUUGGUGAGGUAAAGGCUCACCAAGGCGAUGAUACAUAGCCGACCUGAGAGGGGGAUCGGCAACAUUGGGACGGAGAAACGGCCCAAACGACUACGGGAGGCAGCAGUAGGGAAACUUCGGAAAUGGACGAAAGUCUGACCGAGCAACGCCGCGUGAGUGAAGAAGGGUUUCGGAUCGUAAAACUCUGUUGGUAGAGAAGAACGUUGGUGAGAGUGGAAAGCUCAUCAAGUGACGGUAACUACCCAGAAAGGGACGGCUAACUACGUG
rnacentral:rRNA from 1 species